rnacentral:rRNA from 1 species
GACGAACGCUGGCGGCGUGCUUAACACAUGCCAGUCGAACGGAAAGGCCCUGCUUUUGUGGGGUGCUCGAGUGGCGAACGGGUGAGUAACACGUGAGUAACCUGCCCUUGACUUUGGGAUAACUUCAGGAAACUGGGGCUAAUACCGGAUAGGAGCUCCUGCUGCAUGGUGGGGGUUGGAAAGUUUCGGCGGGUGGGGAUGGACUCGCGGCUUAUCAGCUUGUUGGUGGGGUAGUGGCUUACCAAGGCUUUGACGGGUAGCCGGCCUGAGAGGGUGACCGGCCACAUUGGGACUGAGAUACGGCCCAGACUCCUACGGGAGGCAGCAGUGGGGAAUAUUGCACAAUGGGCGGAAGCCUGAUGCAGCAACGCCGCGUGCGGGAUGACGGCCUUCGGGUUGUAAACCGCUUUCGCCUGUGACGAAGCGUGAGUGACGGUAAUGGGUAAAGAAGCACCGGCUAACUACGUG